GCUGGAAUUAAAAAGAAAAAAGGAUCAGAGGCUGAAAUAAUGCAGCUGCAGUGUGUGAGAGGGGCUGGAUGUGGCUCUUUUGGUGAUAAACAUACCACGUGUUUAGAGAUUUAACUUUGUGUUUCUCAUGCAAACAACGUCAAAGUUGUCUCUGCACACACUGGUGUCCUCAGUAAGUCAUGUGCCAAGUUUGAAGUCUGUCAAGUCACGGUGUUUAACACACCUUGCGUUUAUACUGUUGAAAAAUAAGCAACAAUAACGAGACUUAGUUUAGGGCUAUAAACACGUGACAGUUUUUAUUUAUACUGUUAGGGCCGGGCAAUAACUCAAUAGCGAUGAAUAAUCUGUGCUUGUUGUUGUCUUUGGAUAUCGACAAAGCAAAGGUUCAUUGGGCGAACACACCCUGAGAUGUAACACAUCACAUUCUAACAUGUUAUUGCGCUACUUUCUGCCCAUAAACACUCCUAAAUGUCACAUACUGGAGCUUUAAAGCAGAAUUCUUACUCUCAUACAUGGUAAUGAUAAAAAGCCUUUUCAAAUGGGGCCGUGACACAGCAUAGUGUAUUGUUAUGAGGCCUGCGCUUGAAAACAAUAGCUUUAAAUAGAAACAUAAAAAUAGUCGUGGGUCAAAGGUCGCUCAUUCGUCAGACUGCAGGGCAUUAAGCUCCGCGUGGCUCUGUGCGGUUCCUCACAGAUCCGUGUGAAUCCACUGGGCGACUGUGUCAUGUUGUAUUCUCGGCAUCGUCAUCCCACACUCAUCCAACAUUCAUUUUCUGACCGAUGACCAGCGCUGCACUAUUAAUAGACGGCUUAGCCGUGUCGGCAGUAGUCGGGCAGGCUGUCCUCUUACCGUCGCUCACUGCACCCUCCAGUUGCUGAUCUUUUUUUGUGUUUCUGUUUAUGAGCCGGCGGACACAAAGCGUGGAGCCUUGUCCAUGCCGCCAGUACCGGCGUGCCGUGCGUCUUGCGAGACCUCAGGAGACCUCACGAGACUUCAACGAGGCCUCCUGAUUCUUCUCCUCUGGGUCGGCCCUGAUCUUGCAAGAUAAUCGAGUGAAAACAUCACCUGAAGAAAGUUUCCCAGCCUUCGUUUUUCAUUCCACACGCACCGACUGACUGACUGAAGAAAAAAGAAAAAGAAUGAAGCCUCUCAAGGUUUUAAUUUGAACACACAUGUUAUCUUAUUUCAUCUGAUGAUCAUUUCCUCGAUUAAUGCUGUUGAUCGGUGUUUCUCAAACCUGGAAACGAUUGAAAUGUCUUCAAAAAUGAUUGAUUUUUAAUGACUUCUUUGGAUAUUUUUUGGUUUCUUUGUUUCAUAUAACACAUUUAAAAAAAGAAAAUCAGAAAGCUUGUUUAAAUUUAAAAAACAACAACAUUUAAACCAAUUAAGCGAUUAUCAAAACAGUUGACAUUUCAUUUAAGUAUUUAAGUAUUUGUGUUUAAAAGGCCACUUUUGUAAGUCCAACUCAUUUUCAUAUUAGCAGCAAAUUAUGUUUCAGAAUGCAAACACUGGUUGUGCAAGUAUAUCUGUACUAAGACUGUGUACUGUGUACAAGGUUUUGUGGAUUUAAUAACGAUAUGGGACAUAUUUUUUAUUUUUGUUUUGGGUGGUGUUUGUAUGUUUAUGUUGAAGCGCCACUCAAAAACCAAAAGGACAGACUUCAAUGACAUUUCAUGUGGAUGUACAGACGUGGACAAAUGUGAUGGUACCGUUGCAGCACAUGGACACAAUAUUUCAUUCUUAUCUUAAAUUUGUUAAAAAUGUACGUUGACAAGCUUAUCAGGAGAAUAUUCUUCGGACCAAUGAAACAAAACUGGAGCGUUUUAACAUCAGCACUAUGUUCAUAGAGAACAAAGUUGCAGGUUAAUGAUCAAAAACGCACAAUUAUAUUUUUUAAAAAUGAUCUUCUACGAGUCCUGAUCUUCAUCUUGUUCAACAUCUUCAAGUUAAGUAUAACUUUUGUUGUUUGCCAUAACCAUAAAUUGAGGCUCAAGCAAAAAGAUGCUGGGUUCAGGGUUCAGGUCGGAUUCGGUCUCCGGGACUUGGUCGAGUUCGGACAGAAAAAUGUGGUCUGAUCCGCUCUCGAGUUAAAGGCACCGUCAUUUUUGAUUAUUUAAAAUAUUACGUUAAAUCAAAAAUGCGAAACAAAGCCUAAUUUGUGUUAAAGCAUUUAUCUUGCAAGGGUACCAACGCAUUUGUCCACAUCUGUAGAAUAAAGUUUAAUUUUAUUAAUCCCCUUAGGGAAAGUAUUCCUCUGCAUUUGACCCAUCCUAGAUUUAGGAGCAGUGGGCUGCCACACUGAGUAGCGCCCGGGGAGCAGGUACCUUGCUCAGGGGUACCCCAGCCCUUUUUGGCCGGCUGGGGAUUUGAACCGGUGACCCUCUAAUUACAAGUCAAGUUCCCUUUCCACUUGGCCACGGGCUGCCAACAUGGCCCAAGGACUAAAAACACACUGUAUGUUUACACAGAAAAGCUGUUGUGACAAUUUUGUAAUAAAGUUGCAUCGUUUUCAACA